rnacentral:rRNA from 1 species
UACGUAGGGUGCGAGCGUUAAUCGGAAUUACUGGGCGUAAAGCGUGCGCAGGCGGCUUUGCAAGACAGAUGUGAAAUCCCCGGGCUCAACCUGGGAACUGCAUUUGUGACUGCAUGGCUAGAGUACGGUAGAGGGGGAUGGAAUUCCGCGUGUAGCAGUGAAAUGCGUAGAUAUGCGGAGGAACACCGAUGGCGAAGGCAAUCCCCCGGACCUGUACUGACGCUCAUGCACGAAAGCGUGGGGAGCAAACAGG